rnacentral:rRNA from 1 species
AGUGGGGAAUUUUGGACAAUGGGCGCAAGCCUGAUCCAGCCAUGCCGCGUGUGUGAAGAAGGCCUUCGGGUUGUAAAGCACUUUCGGCCGGAACGAAAUCGCCUUUGUUAAUAGCGANGGUGGAUGACGGUACCGGAAGAAGAAGCACCGGCUAACUACGUGCCAGCAGCCGCGGUAAUACGUAGGGUGCGAGCGUUAAUCGGAAUUACUGGGCGUAAAGGGUGCGCAGGCGGCCCCGCAAGUCAGGCGUGAAAUCCCCGGGCUUAACCUGGGAAUGGCGCUUGAAACUACGGGGCUGGAGUAUGGCAGAGGGAGGUGGAAUUCCACGUGUAGCGGUGAAAUGCGUAGAGAUGUGGAGGAACACCGAUGGCGAAGGCAGCCUCCUGGGCCAAUACUGACGCUCAUGCACGAAAGCGUGGGGAGCAAACAGGAUUAGAUACCCUGGUAGUCCACGCCCUAAACGAUGAUGACUAGUUGUUGGAGGAGUUAAAUCCUUUAGUAACGCAGCUAACGCGAGAAGUCAUCCGCCUGGGGAGUACGGUCGCAAGAUUA